UACAGAGGGUGCAAGCGUUGUUCGGAAUUAUUGGGCGUAAAGCGCGUGUAGGCGGCUUUCUAAGUCUGGUGUGAAAGCCCGGGGCUCAACCCCGGAAGUGCACUGGAUACUGGAAAGCUAGAGGGCGAGAGAGGAGAUUGGAAUUCAUGGUGUAGGGGUGAAAUCCGUAGAUAUCAUGAGGAACAUCUGUGGCGAAGGCGAAUCUCUGGCUCGUUUCUGACGCUGAGACGCGAAAGCGUGGGGAUCAAACAGG
rnacentral:rRNA from 1 species